AUUGAACGCUGGCGGCAGGCCUAACACAUGCAAGUCGAGCGGAGCGGCGGACGGGUGGGUAAUUACUAUGAAUCUGCCUGGUGGGGGAUAACGUCCGGAAACGGGCGCUAAUACCUCAUACUCUCAGCUAAGCCUAGGUCGGAUUAGCUAGUUGGUGGGGUAAAGGCCUACCAAGGCGACGAUCCGUAACUGGUCUGAGAGGUGGAUCAGUCACACUGGAACUGAGACACGGUCCAGACUCCUACGGGAGGCAGCAGUGGGGAAUAUUGGACAAUGGGCGAAAGCCUGAUCCAGCCAUGCCGCGUGUGUGAAGAAGGCCUUCGGAUUGUAAAGCACUUUAAGUGGGGAGGCGUUACCAACAGAAUAAGCACCGGCUAACUCCGUGCCAGCAGCCGCGGUAAUAC
rnacentral:rRNA from 1 species